CAGCAGGCCUGUGCAUAAAAUGCAGCGAGUUGAUCCGUCCGCAAGAACCAGCUUGAGCCCAACCGACACAAGUUGGGUUAUUCGGAUCCACUCCACUAGCGGGUUGAACCAAGUUAAUAUCGGUUGAAACCGAUACCGUCUACGCGUUUUGGAGUCCCUCUUCGCUUCAUUUCACAAACCCUAGCCACCAGUGCACCUCUCCAUUGGGCAUCGCCGUUCAUCGUCACUGUAGGGAAUCUCCGUUCAUCGUCACCAUCAUCUUCACUGUUCGUCUUCACCGUUCAAGCUAGAGUAAAGCCAUUGCCUACAUAGUUGAAAAAAAAAAUUUAUGAAGAUAUAAGAUGGAGGCAAGCAUCCUUAGUAGAUCUAAGCAUUUUCAAACAACUGAAGUCCAUGUUCAACCUGGGAAUGAUUUAAUUCAAAAAGCAAGUGAAAGAAAUAAAUGAAGGGAACACAAGGGGCACUCGGACAGCACACACUCGGACAGUAGAGGAUUAUUCGGUUUCAACUUUUGGCAUGUGAAUUGCGUUACAGACCUAGCACUAGGCACGUUGCAGGAGAUCACAUGGAAGCACUCGGACGUGCAGCAGGUCAGCAGAAGAAUAAAACUGCUGGCCCUCAACUUUGACAGAGCUGGACUUCACUCAAAGAAGAACAUGCUGGAGUGCUUUUUGGUUCUACACCUGGGGACCACUCGGACGUGCAGCAGUAGCAGAGUUUUAUCUUAUUUCUUUCUUUUUCGGGUAGCUGGACGUGCAGGAGAUCAGUGAUGUGUUGCUGGAAGGCAAGCUGUUCAUUUCAGCUUUCUUGCUUCUGCACAUGGAAGGUCACCACGGCAUCACAUGGACAGCUCACAAGACACACGGCUAUAAAAAGAAAGAGGGCUGAAAUGCUAUGGGAGUUCAGUAGCUUAGCUUGGAGUUGUUAUUUUCUUUCUUUUGUUUCAGAUGCUAGGCUUCAGUUUAUCUUUCAGGCUAUUUUUUUUUUGUUCGGCUACAGUUUUUAUUUUCUCUUCUUUUUCAUUUAGUUGCAAGGCGGCAGUUUUUGUUCUCAA